rnacentral:tRNA from 1 species
GCAGUGGUGGUUCAGCAGUAGAAUUCUCACUUUCCAUGUGAGAGACCAGGGUUCGAUUCCUGGCCAAUGCA